GUUUCCUACACACAAGAUAUAGUAUCCUUCUGUCAUGCGACAUUUAUUUUAUUGAUUUUACGAAUUUCGAUGGGCGCAGCAAGAAAAUUGAUAUAUAAUAACUUUUGUUCAUUGACUUUAUGACAAUUGAUUCCCAAUAAAUUAUGUGAAUUAUGACAAGUAUGGAAAUGUAACUGUUUCUAAUUUAUUCAAGCGUGAAUUGAAUUAUCGUUCAACGGAAUAAAGUUAAAAAGGAUUUUAUUAUUUUUGAAUAUUUUAAAGAAUUGUUUUACGUUAGUGUCUUAUGUUAGUAGUUUUAUGUUAUAAUUCGUUUUUAAAAAUAAUAGGAUUUAUGAAUGAAAUUCAUUUUUAAAAUGAUAUUUUUAAGAAGAUACACGUCUUUUCCAUUCAUUACACACAUGUAUGCAUAAAUAAUUGCAUUUAAAUAAUCUCAUCAAUGUCUAUUGUCUGAAAGAUUAUAUUGGAAACAUAAUUUUUAUUACACGUUGCAAACAUAACACAGUUACAAAUUAAAUUUCUUCCAUCAUAAUAUUUCACGAAGAGAUUGUCAUCGAAAUUUCACAUUGCAUAUGAGAAGAUGUACAAGAGAAAGUUCAGUGUAAGUAGUACUUAUUCCACUUUUUUAACACAAAAACUGUAAAUUAUUUUUCUUUUAUAUAUAUAUAUAUAUAUCAUUAAAAAAAUUUUGAAGCGUAUGAAAAAUAAAACGAAUAUGACAUUUAUAUAAAGUUAUAACAGUUAAUUUUGCUUUUACUUGCAAUGUUUUUAAACAUUGCCCGACGGAGAAAUGCAAAACAACGGUAUAUUUAUUCUUAGUUGCAAAACUACAACGGGAUAUGGGCGUUGAACUUGUCCAUUGGUUAAGAAUAGACAUUGCGUCGCAGAAUUUCUAUUCGGGAGUUACCUGAAAAGAAAAAUAUUGAUUAUCAAUAUAAUUACGUAAAUGGCCAUUCUCCAUUUCUGAGAAGAAAUCAAUAUCUUCAUAAGAAUCAAUGAACAUUGCUAAAAAUUUUCACAAUAUGGCAAAAGUUCGUUAAUACGAUAUUAUGCAUCGAUCGUGACUACAUAACUGUUUUUUUCAUCUUCUGAAUUAUACGAACACGCUCUGUUGGUUCCUUUAUAUGCAGAAGCGCUAAGGAAAGAUGAGAGGCCUGGUGAGAGAGCGCCUAUGCCACUCGACCGUUCACUUUUUCUAAAAUUGGUCACAGACAGCCGGAUCUUGCCUAAGGAAAACAGUAAAUUGCGACGAUCCUCUCUUCUGGAAGAGAUGUGCAGGGUGGGGCACAGUAAAUUGCCAGAGAAAAUAAAUAACUCAUCCAUAUGAUAUGCUCGCAAAAACAAUUUCGUUGUCCUCGAGAGAAUUCAAAAAUUAUUUGAUCAUUAAUUAUUUGGUGUGAAAAAAAAUAGUUAUUUUCGAAUCAGUGUGGUCAGAAUAAUUUUUUAAAUUAAUUUUUUUAGGUUAUAAUACUUGGACAGUCUAAAAACACGUAAUAAUUAUAUGUUCAAUAAAAUGCAAAGUUUAUUCGUAUUUGUUAGAAUAAGUUAGAAAGUUGUUGGACAAGUUUUAUUCUCAAUAACUUUAUACCAGAAAGAAUGUUCAAAAGAGAAUUUGGAAAGAGUGUUAACUUAUUCGAUAAAUAUCGAUAAAUUAUUAUUAAUUUUUUCUUGAUAUUAUUUUAUCAUAUGAUUCAGGGUUUACAGUAACUAAGAAUAAAUAUUAUUCUUAGCUGCGAUCAUGAAAACUGAUCUUCAAUAUUAACAUAAUCGAUAUCGGUAUUACUGGGUACCGGACGAUGAUGUAACAGAUCGACCACGCGCUUAUUGUCCUUGCAUUUGUAGUAAUCCUGUUCUCCAAAUAUAGUUAGCCAAUGUUCCAACGUUUAUUAUAUUUGUACUUCAUAUUUAUUCACAUACAUAAUUGAUUGAAUAAUAAUUGAAUAAAAUUGAAAAAGGAGAUAAAAUUUUAAUUUCAAGAAUAUUAUUCAAUUAUCAAAAAACAUUGAAAUACUUACCUAAGAUAAUUUACAUUCAAUAUUACAUUCGAUAUUCGGUAUUAAUAAUCAAAGUUAUUAUAUUUACCAAUGAUUGAUUCUCAACUCGUGACAUUUAAUAACAUUUAAUAAUUUCUUUUUUAUUUUCUGCUUCUCAUUAGAAUAUUCCUUCUAUAAUAUGAUGAUGAUACAAAUGACGACAUCAAGGAUGGAUAUCUACAAGGAUAUCUAAAAGGAAACUAAUUUAGGCUAAGGAUUAUUUUUUAAUAGAAUAAACACUUGUAUUAGUUGUAUAUACUUGCUUAGAUAAUAUAUAGAGUGCCUAUAACGUGUAUUUCUGAGAACAAAUAAAUCACAUAUAAUUUACAAAAA